AGGUCAGAGGAGGAGGAGUGGUUGGAGGCUGAAGAGGCAACAAGUGUUAGCGAGCAAGAAGAGCAAUGGGCAUAAGAACAAAAAGAGACAGAGGCUGCAGAAACACCCAUGGAUCUUGUCAUUCCUACUGUAGGAAGUUCCCCUUCCCCCUUGUCUCCAAGGACACAGAGAGCUUUACGAGUAGCAGAACAAAGAGCACAGGUGGCCACUCCCUAACAUAGCUUAAGGCUGCUUGGGAAACAUCUGGCUGAGGGGGAGGAGACUUAGGGGGAAGUAGGAGGUGUGGAUCAUCAGCCCUGGCAACUGUUUCAUAGGGACCAGUCCUAUUCAGAGGCAUUGCUGCCUUGUAUGCUGCUUCCUGGAAUAAAGAGCUAACUUUUCGACUUCCGGGUUGGCGCCUCUGGCAAUGGCGGAUUUCCUCCGAUCGGGAGGAAUCUGCUCCGUGGAAAACAGGGUCUGAACCUCCACGGCGAGGUGGAGACCCAUCAAAAACCACAGGCGGGAGAAGCCUGUGGACGUGGGAUUCGGCCGGCACCUUUGCACCCCCCCUACUCACGGGGAAACCCGAUUUCGGGGUUCCGGAGCGACGUGGGGUGAGUGGCGCGGUGCCUUGAAUCGACUGCUUCUUUCACGGAGUGAAGCCGCAUUGCUGUUGCCGGAGAGCGCUGACUUUUUCCUGUGGACAAUUGGAGCUUAAAUAACUGUCCGUGAGUAGAACGGAAAAUUGGAAUAAGAAAUUUCUUUUAAUUUGGCACUGAAGCGGGAAGGUCUAAACAGGAAGUCUGCCUUCCGCUUUUUGUAAAUAGAUUGAAGCAAAGACACGGCAAGCUAGAGCUUAGAAAAUCGUCUGUAAAGGAUCAAUUUUCAUCAUUUAAAAUUACUGAACCCCCCUUGGAAGCAGGAGAAGAGGGGGGAACUUUUCUGGACUGAUUAAACUUGCAGAAGACAAGUAAAGAAAAGCAAUUCUCCACCGUCCUGAACCUGGGAGCGGGGUGUCAGGACAGACGUCUUCGGGAAGUUCAUUGACUAUAGACAAACGUUUUUGACAGAUAGUUAAAAGAAGAGAAACAUAUUGAUUCCAUUCCCCUUCGCAUCUAAAAGGAACAAAAUAUUGACAAAAUAUCUGAAAAAGGAAACUUUGUUGUUAGAUUUGCUUUAAAAAAAAAAAAAGGAGAGAGAUGGAUACAAAUAGAAGUUUUUUCCCCUAGAGGGAGCUUGUGAAACUGUUAUUAAAUUCGAACUGGGGAGCUUUGCAGCUGCAAUAGAUUAAGAUCGUGGGAACAGACUCUGACCUUCAACAACAAUGUAUUCGGAGGCUCUGGUGUUGGCCUUUUGUAAGACAAGUGCUUUAUUGGAACAGUUACAUGAGAAGAUGGAUUUGAUGACUGUUGGGAUCGGAAAGUUUGGACAGGCAGUGGGUACUUAUAUAGAACCCACUCAGGAGUUAACUCAGGAGUGUGCUUUGACAGAUCAGAUGAGGGAGGAGGUUGUUGCUGGACCUAGUGAGGCAGAGAUGGAGGGAACUGUGGCCCAGCAGGAACAUGAGUUGUUGGACUUGAUGAAUGAACCUGGAGAAAGCCAGAUUUGGAGAGACAGAGUUCUGUUUGGUUUGGAGAUGGGGGGCUGGAUAGACCCCCCUAUGCAGGGAUGUUUUGACCUUUCACGUCUGGCUUUGGGCCGGGAGGCGUCCGGGGUUGUGCGGGCCCUUAACUUUGGAGGGACUUUGAAACAUGCUUUUAAAUACCAUAUGGAAUUCAGUGUUGACUUUGGAAAAGGGGCUGAUCCGUCGAGAAGGGACAAAAACAUUGUCAAGCUGGAGUCUCCCCGAGUGAAAGGAGCAGAAGACAAAGUAAAGUACAGGUAUAAAUAUGAAGAAGAUCUGCGGAUGGGACAUGGAAGAGAUCCAAGGGCCUCGGAUAUAAGGUUACCAGGCUGAUGGACUAGAUGGAUGGGAUAGAAAGGACUGACAAAACCCGAGACCAGGAGAAAGAAACGUUGGAUGAAGAUUGGAAGAAAGUUUUAAACAAUUUAUUUAGGAAAAUUUUGUAAAAGUAAAGAGUAUUAGAAAAAUGUUGGAAUGAAAUUAUUUGGCUUUAGCAGAAAUGUUAAAAAGAAUUAUGUAAGAAUAUGCCAUGGUUAAGAGAAUUUGGUAUAAAUAAGAUUUAAGUUUUAAGUUUUAGGGCCUUUUAUGGUAAGAUAAGGUUAAAAUAGAUUAAGGUAAUUUAAUGACAGAAUAUUAUGAAAGAUGGAAAGGAUUUGCUGAGAUAAUUAACAACUAGAAUACAAAAAAGGGAGGUAUGAGGAGGUUGAUGAAACAAGGUAAUGACAGUUAAUGAUUUGGGAAUAUUGGAUCUGUUUUUAAAUUUUUUGUCUAUUUUUGUUUUUUGAUUUUGAUGUAUUAUGUAUUUUGUUUUUUUCUCUUUUUGAUCUUGUUUUUUUAUUGAUUCGUAUUGUUUAAAUGUUACUUGCCUUUUCCUUCUUUUUUUUCUUUGUUUCUUUGUAAUCUUAAAAUUCUCAAUAAAUAUUAUU